GAUGAACGCUAGCGGCAGGCUUAACACAUGCAAGUCGAGGGGUAACAGGGAUUGCUUGCAAUCCGCUGACGACCGGCGCACGGGUGCGUAACGCGUAUGCAACCUACCUUCUACAGGGGGAUAGUCAAUAGAAAUGUUGAAUAAUACCCCAUACGAUCUUUGAAUAGCAUUAUUUAAAGAAGAAAGUUCCGGCGGUAGAAGAUGGGCAUGCGUCCUAUUAGUUAGUUGGAGAGGUAACGGCUCCCCAAGACAUCGAUAGGUAGGGGUCCUGAGAGGGAGACCCCCCACACUGGUACUGAGACACGGACCAGACUCCUACGGGAGGCAGCAGUGAGGAAUAUUGGACAAUGGAGGCAACUCUGAUCCAGCCAUGCCGCGUGCAGGAAGACUGCCCUAUGGGUUGUAAACUGCUUUUAUACAGGAAGAAAUGUAUCUACGUGUAGGUAUUUGACGGUACUGUACGAAUAAGGAUCGGCUAACUCCGUG
rnacentral:rRNA from 1 species